rnacentral:rRNA from 1 species
GGAAUUACUGAGACACGGCCCGUCCUCCUCCGGGCGGCAGCAGUAGGGAAUCUUCCACAAUGGGCGCAAGCCUGAUGGAGCAACGCCGCGUGUGUGAUGAAGGGUUUCGGCUCGUAAAACACUGUUAUAAGAGAAGAACGGCACUGAGAGUAACUGUUCAGUGUGUGACGGUGAGU